rnacentral:lncRNA from 1 species
GGUCUGAUGGACAAGAAGGACAGAUAAGGAGAUAGAGGCUCAGAGAGGUGACUUGAGUUGUCCAAGGUCAUACUGCAAGCAAAUGGCAGAGCUGGGCUUUGAAUCAGGCACUUCGGCUCUGAAGGUUUCUCUUCCACUACCACCUGGCUUGGUAUAGAGGCCUGGCUUAGAAGAAGCUGACUCAUGUGAGUCAGACAGCACUCUGAACUGGGCCCCCACUUUGUGCAGAACUCUAGCUGAGGCUUCUCAGGGGCAAGAAGAACACAACUCCCUCGGCCCCAGCCCCAGGGAACCUGCUGCCGUGGCUCAGGAAACAGACACAAGUGAGUAAACGAAUGGCUGCCGAACCAGAAAAGUGACUGGAGUGGCCAGGGUGAGCCAGGCUGGGGCCCAGCUACCUGGAAAGUCUUCUCCCAGGAAGAGAAAAGCAUCCUAGUCAGUGAUUCCCU